rnacentral:rRNA from 1 species
AAAUUGAAGAGUUUGAUCAUGGCUCAGAUUGAACGCUGGCGGCAGGCCUAACACAUGCAAGUCGAACGGUAACAGGAAGAAGCUUGCUUCUUUGCUGACGAGUGGCGGACGGGUGAGUAAUGUCUGGGAAACUGCCUGAUGGAGAGGGAUAACUACUGGAAACGGUAGCUAAUACCGCAUAACGUCGCAAGACCAAAGAGGGGGACCUUCGGGCCUCUUGCCAUCGGAUGUGCCCAGAUGGGAUUAGCUAGUAGGUGGGGUAACGGCUCACCUAGGCGACGAUCCCUAGCUGGUCUGAGAGGAUGACCAGCCACACUGGAACUGAGACACGGUCCAGACUCCUACGGGAGGCAGCAGUGGGGAAUAUUGCACAAUGGGCGCAAGCCUGAUGCAGCCAUGCCGCGUGUAUGAAGAAGGCCUUCGGGUUGUAAAGUACUUUCAGC